AAAAAAAAAAAAGCAGUCCCCCAGCCAUUAUCACGCCUCGAAUAGUUAAGGCAGCUCCCUAAUAUCCCCUAAUACUCUCCGUGCGCACUGCCGUGAGAGUUUCGGGAUGUCUGCAUCGUCGGCGCGUGCGGAGCGUCCAGGCGGGACCGUGCACACUGCGCGCCGCGGCUCCGCCCCUGCGACUCCAGGAUCCUCGGCCGCCCCGCCCCCGCCUCUCCUCGGGCCGGCGAUUUACUGAGGAAACGGGAUCUCUGCCCUGUGGGACGCCCGAGCCCUCGCAUUCUGCUCAGGCCUUACUGAUGUUGUCGUUUGAUCUGUUUCUCUGUCCUCCAUGGUUCUCGGAAAUUCAUAGUCCGCUUUAAAGGCCUGAGGAGAGCCGCGCUCGCUUUUUCGAGCCUGCGCGCUUCGUCGGGAGGGCAGCCCGGUGGAGGCGCCUGGCGAAGCGGGGGCUUCAGCGGAGGUCGUCAGUCCGACCCCCGUUAGAAGGGUUCCCACCAAACCUCCUAAUGCUUUGCGAAUACACUGCGGGUCUCGUUUGUUUGUUUUUAACCCUUGGCUCACGAGCUGUAAGGAUGUAAACCCAAGGCCCUUGGUGUCCAAAUUCCGUGCGCCGAGGAACAAAACUGAGAGAAUAAGAGCAGGAAAAGACACAGAGAGAGAAUGCUAAACUGAAGCUGUGUUUCCGGCGCUGCGCCGCUGAGAGGCUCUCCUGGAGCCGCCGCGGGUGGGCCUGGUUGCUGGGUCUCGGGCCCCGCCUCCCGCACCCUCCGCCCCGCUUCGGUGGAGGCCGUCGCGUCUGAAAAAUGGCUCCGCCCACCCUCGUCUGUGUUGGAAUGCAGACUGAUGUGUCUCUUCUGGAUGGUUUCUGAACGUCGUUUUCUGUCAGGCAGGUGUACUGCCUCAUCCAUUAGGACAACGUGCCAGAGAAAGGGAACAUUAAAUGAUGUGACAAUUGAAACAGGCAAAAACCACAAGUUAUUUCCUCUUCAGGAAUUUUGCUUUAAUUAAAAAGAAGAAGAAGCUCAACCGAAGUCCCUACAUCUUCUUGAGCUAGGAACAGUUGAGUUGCAUAGAACCACAGCAUCAAUGACCAGCUUUACCUGCAAUAAAUCAUUGCCUACUGUUGGUAGCAAUGGCUGGAAUUUGGGUGUUAUGGUCUGACCAUUUGGUGAGCUCUGCACUGGAUGAAUCAUUUGAAGAGAUCCAGUGUCUGUUGGGUGAGACAACAGAGAAGCUAGUUUGUUUGCCUGUUCAUCUAUUUGGGCUCAAAUCAAUCAAGACUGUUGUGUGCCACCAAGAAGGUGAAUAGCUCUUUGAUAUCUGAACUAGUAAAUAUUUUGCUUCUGUGUUUUCUCUUGACUCAUGACUGAAAUUUUAGAAUUGAAGCUGUAAACUCUACAUGUCUCUAUGUCUGUAAUUCAGAAAGGUCUCUACCUCUCAUUGUCUGAGUGUAUGAUGUUUUUCUAAAUCUGGAUGGUAUUAGAUUAUCAAAUCUCCUAAAUUAAAAAAGCCUUGUUCUGACUGGCUUAUAAGCGCUUGUAAGUGAAAUGUAGUAUUCCUACAAUUCUCAGAAAGUAAGGAAAUAGAACUUCUAAGUUUUAAAAUGUGCUGGGUUUAAAAAGUAUUUUAAAAGAAAUUAGCUCAGAAACAUUUUAAGAAUUCAAGUUUACACAAUUUAGGUAAAUCUUUCGCAAACUAAACUAGUUUAAUAAUUUGGUUUAAUAAAAACAGCUAUUUCUUCUCUGAUUUAUCAGUGUUACAUGUAACACAAGUGUUUAUUUUUAUUACACUUGGGUAUGUUUUUUCUAAAUUAUACAGGUUUACUGAUAAGCUAGGAUUACUUCUACUUAAUGCUUGCUUAUGAAAAAUGUAAAUUUGUAUUUGACCCCAUUGAAUCUUUAUUCUGAUGAAUUAUUAUUCCAUUAGUAAUAUGUUCUAUACUGUGUCAGCUUGAAGAUAAAUGUCGAAGAUCUAGGUAGCCUACAAUCUUGGAUUGGUAUUAAAUUGGGUUAAUUAACGGAAAAUCAUUGGAUACCUAGAUCAUUUCUAAGUAAGAUUGAAUACUAAAGUAUUAAUUAAUAAGCAUAAUUUUAACUUUAUAUACCUUUGCUUCU
ensembl:lncRNA